rnacentral:rRNA from 1 species
GCGUAACACGUAAGUAAUCUACCCCGAACUCCGGGAUAACCCUCCGAAAGGAGGGCUAAGACUGGAUAGGGUCCCCGAGGUGUAGGCUGCGGGGGGAAAACGGGCCUCUGUUUCAUGCUCGUGGUUCGGGAUGAGCUUGCGGCCCAUUAGCUGGUUGGUAGGGUAACGGCCUACCAAGGCAACGAUGGGUAGCUGGUCUGAGAGGAUGAUCAGCCACACUGGCACUGAGACACGGGCCAGACUCCUACGGG